rnacentral:rRNA from 1 species
GACGUAGGGGGCCAGCGUUGCUCGGAAUUACUGGGUGUAAAGGGUUCGUAGGCGGCGUGGCAAGUCGGGAGUGAAAUCUCUGGGCUCAACCCAGAGUCUGCUUCCGAAACUGCUGUGCUUGAGUGUGGGAGAGGCGCGUGGAAUUGCAGGUGUAGCGGUGAAAUGCGUAGAUAUCUGCAGGAACACCCGUGGCGAAAGCGGCGCGCUGGACCACUACUGACGCUGAGGAACGAAAGCUAGGGGAGCAAACAGG